UACGGGGGGGGCAAGCGUUGUUCGGAAUUACUGGGCGUAAAGGGUUCGUAGGUGGCUUGCUAAGUCAGACGUGAAAUCCCUCAGCUCAACUGGGGAACUGCGUCUGAGACUGGCGAGCUUGAGUGCCGGAGAGGGUCGCGGAAUUCCCGGUGUAGAGGUGAAAUUCGUAGAUAUCGGGAGGAACACCAGUGGCGAAGGCGGCGACCUGGACGGACACUGACGCUGAGACGCGAAAGCGUGGGGAGCAAACAGG
rnacentral:rRNA from 1 species